AUUAAGGUGGCAGAAUUAGUGCAUAAGAUUUAAGAUCUUAUUAGGGAAUAUUUAGGUUAUUCUUCUUAAUA
rnacentral:tRNA from 1 species